GGUCACUGAUUGGACAGCUGUAGAUAGAGCAGCUCUUUAAAAAGCAUCCGUGACUCAAGACUUCAAACGUCUUUUCUUCCUGCUCUGAAGUCACAAAUAACAGGAAAACCAUGAAGGUCGUGCUUGUUGCAGUGUGUCUUGUUGCGCUGUGCUGUGCAGCCCCUGUUGAGCAUGAAAGAGAGAAGCGCUCAUCGAGCGAAGAGAGCUACCAAAGAGGAUAUUACCCUCCACAGUACUACCCCAACUACGUCCCCAACAACAACAACAACAACAACUACAUUCUGAACCUUCUGCUGCCGUUCCUAUUCGCACGGCUGCCGGCUAUCCCUCCAAUUCCUCC